rnacentral:rRNA from 1 species
GGCCAUGUUGGUUAACAGAUCCUCAUCUGCUGGACGUCUGGCGAUGAUCUUUAUCGGUUGUCGUCAGUUGCCAGCACGUUUACUUUGAGAAAAUUAGAGUGCUAAAAGCGGGCUCACCCCUAUAUAUAUUGCAUGGAAUAAUGAAAUAAGAUCUCGAUUUUAUUUCUUUGGUUUUAGAAAUUGAGAUAAUGAUUAAUAGGAUCAGAGGGGGGCGUACGUACUGUGGUGUGAGAGGUGAAAUUCUUGGAUCGCCACAGGACGAACAGCAGCGAAGGCGUUCGCCAAGAAUGUUUUCAUUAAUCAAGAACGAAAGUGUGAGGUUCGAAGACGAUUAGAUACCGUCCUAGUUCAAACCAUAAACGUUGCCAACUGUCUUUUAGAUGCGGUUAUUUAUAUGACUCAUCUGGCGGAUCUCGAGAAAUCUAAGUUUUUAGGUUCCGGGGGAAGUAUGGUUGCAAAGCUGAAACUUAAAAGAAUUGACGGAAGGACACACAAGAAGUGGAGCCUGUGGCCUAAUUUGACUCAACACGGGAAACCUUACUCGGCCAGGACACUUUUAGGAUUGACAGAUUGAGAGCUCUUUCUUGAUUAGGUGGGUGGUGGUGCAUGGUCGUUCGUAGUUCGUGGAGCGAUUUGUCUGAUUAAUUUCGAUAACGAACGAGACUCCGGCUUACUAAAUAGUCUAAAGUUCGAAGGGACUUUUCAAGACUUCUUAGCAGGAUAAGUGG